rnacentral:misc_RNA from 1 species
CAUGUACGGGCAGUAAGUCAGAAGACUGAAGAUGUUCCGGAAGCCAUAAAAGGAAAACCCCCACUAUCUUUCUUACGAACUUGGCGGAACGACGAAAGAUAGUGGGGGCCUCACAGAAU